UACGAAGGGGGCUAGCGUUGCUCGGAAUCACUGGGCGUAAAGGGUGCGUAGGUGGGCUGUUAAGUCAGUGGUGAAAUCUCCGGGCUCAACCCGGAAACUGCCAUUGAUACUAUCAGUCUUGAAUAUCGUUGAGGUAAGCGGAAUAUGUCAUGUAGCGGUGAAAUGCUUAGAUAUGACAUAGAACACCAAUUGCGAAGGCAGCUUGCUAACCGAAUAUUGACACUGAGGCACGAAAGCGUGGGGAUCAAACAGG
rnacentral:rRNA from 1 species